AAGGAAAGGGGGCGUGGAGGCCACUUCCUUCCUUUCUUCCCUGGAUGGUCUUUGUUGCUUCCAUUCCUGUCGCUCGGUCAGCCGCCCCUUCCCAAGGCUGGGUCUAUCUGUGAAGAUGGAAGCUAAGUUGGAAAGAGCUCCGUUGGAGGAAGGGCAGCCGGGCCAGUCCCAGGAAUGUGCCCAAGAUGCCCUCUCACACGGCAGUGAAGAAGCAGUGUUGAUCUGUUCUGUUUGUAGAGGUGUGGAAAACAAAGCCGCU